GACGAACGCUGGCGGCGUGCUUAACACAUGCAAGUCGAACGGAAAGGCCCUGCUUUUGUGGGGUGCUCGAGUGGCGAACGGGUGAGUAACACGUGAGUAACCUGCCCUUGACUUUGGGAUAACUUCAGGAAACUGGGGCUAAUACCGGAUAGGAGCUCCUGCUGCAUGGUGGGGGUUGGAAAGUUUCGGCGGUUGGGGAUGGACUCGCGGCUUAUCAGCUUGUUGGUGGGGUAGUGGCUUACCAAGGCUUUGCCGGGUAGCCGGCCUGAGGGGGUGACCGGCCACAUUGGGACUGAGAUACGGCCCAGACUCCUACGGGAGGCAGCAGUGGGGAAUAUUGCACAAUGGGCGGAAGCCUGAUGCAGCAACGCCGCGUGCGGGAUGACAGCCUUCGGGUUGUAGACCGCUUUCGCCUGUGACGAAGCGUGAGUGACGGUAAUGGGUAAAGAAGCACCGGCUAACUACGUG
rnacentral:rRNA from 1 species